rnacentral:misc_RNA from 1 species
GACUCCCUUCCGUAGCUCGGGGGGUAAAGUCGCAAGGGUGCGGCGGCGGGGAACCCCGGUUCGAGACCGGCCGCCCCAAUACGGAGGGGAGUC